rnacentral:rRNA from 1 species
UACGUAGGGUGCGAGCGUUAAUCGGAAUUACUGGGCGUAAAGCGUGCGCAGGGCGGCUGCUCAAGUCAGGGGUGAAAGCCCAGAGCUCAACUCUGGAAUUGCCUUUGAGACUGAGUGGCUUGAGUACGGGAGAGGUGAGUGGAAUUCCCAGUGAUAGAGGUGAAAUUCGUAGAUAUUGGGAAGAACACCGGUGGCGAAGGCGGCUCACUGGCCCGUAACUGACGCUCAUGCACGACAGCGUGGGGAUCAAACAGG